AAGUGGAGCAGUAGUCUCGUCACU
rnacentral:miRNA from 1 species